GACAGAGGAGCCAAGCGUUGUCCGGAUUGACUGGGCGUAAAGCGCACGCAGGCGGUCGUGCACGUGGGGUGUGAAAACUGGCGGCUUAACUGCCAGAGGCCACCUCAUACGGCGCGACUCGAGCCCUGCAGAGGUCCAUGGAAUUGCCGGUGUAGUGGUGAAAUGCGUAGAGAUCGGCAGGAACACCCAGGGGGGAAACCAGUGGACUGGGCAGGAGCGUGACGCUCA
rnacentral:rRNA from 1 species